rnacentral:tRNA from 1 species
GGGAUUUUGGCUCAGUGGUAGAGUGCUUGCCUACUAUGCAUGAGGCCUGAGUUCAAUUCUUUAGUACCA